GACGAACGCUGGCGGCGUGCUUAACACAUGCAAGUCGAACGGAAAGGCCCUGCUUGCAGGGUGCUCGAGUGGCGAACGGGUGAGUAACACGUGGGUGAUCUGCCCCUUAUUUUGGGAUAAGCCUGGGAAACUGGGUCUAAUACUGGAUAGGACCAUGCUGUAGGUGGUGUGGUGGAAAGAUUAGUUUCGGUAAGGGAUGAGCGCGCGGCCUAUCAGCUUGUUGGUGGGGUAAUGGCCUACCAAGGCGUCGACGGGUAGCCGGCCUGAGAGGGUGGACGGCCACAUUGGGACUGAGAUACGGCCCAGACUCCUACGGGAGGCAGCAGUGGGGAAUAUUGCACAAUGGGCGCAAGCCUGAUGCAGCGACGCCGCGUGGGGGAUGACGGCCUUCGGGUUGUAAACUCCUUUCAGCCAUGACGAAGCCCUUGUGGUGACGGUAGUGGUAGAAGAAGCACCGGCUAACUACGUG
rnacentral:rRNA from 1 species